UAAGUUUGCAUACUUAACCUCAGCAAUUAGUGAUUCAAGACCUAAGAAAAAGGGAAAAAGCGAAAAGAAAGAACAAAUGGGGCAUAUAUACAAAGAACAAAACAUAAUCAUGAUGACUUCAGUUGCUGAUAAUUUCAACCAAUUGCAGUUAAAUGUCCUCUUGGUCCCCUUUUCCCAGUCGUAAGGGCACUCUAGAACAAGCACACAAAAUCAGGCAUACAAGUCAAAAAGAAAAAGGCAUAUGUCACUCCCUUAUUGAUGAUGCAUCAAG
rnacentral:misc_RNA from 1 species